AUACGGAGGAUGCGAGCGUUAUCCGGAUUCAUUGGGUUUAAAGGGUGCGUAGGCGGACUAUUAAGUCAGUGGUGAAAUCCUGCAGCUUAACUGUGUAACUGCCGUUGAUACUGUUAGUCUUGAGUAUGGUCAAGGUAGGCGGAAUGUGUAAUGUAGCGGUGAAAUGCUUAGAUAUUACACAGAACACCGAUUGCGAAGGCAGCUUACUGGGCCGUUACUGACGCUGAUGCACGAAAGCGU
rnacentral:rRNA from 1 species